GAGAUGGAGUCUUGCUCUGUCGCCCAGGCUGGAGUGCAAUAGUGCGAUUUCGACUUACUGCAACCUCCACCUCCCAAGUUCAAGCGAUUCUCCUGCCUCAGCCUCCUGAGUAGCUGGGAUUACAGGCAUUCGCCACCACACCUGGCUAAUUUUUUUGUAUUUUUAGUAGAGACGGGGUUUCUCCACGUUGGUCAGGCUGGUCUCGAACUCCCGACCUCAGCCGUGGUGGCUCACACCUGUAAUCCCAGCACUUUGGGAGGCUGAGGCAGGUGGAUCGCCUGAGGUCAGGAGUUCAAGAUCAACCUGGCCAACAUACUGAAACCCCGUCUCUACUAAAAAUAAGAAAAAUUAGCUGGGCGUGGUGGCGGGCACCUGUAAUCCCAGCUACUUGGGAGACUGAGGCAGGAGAAUCGCUUGAACCUGGGAGUUAGAGGUUGCAGUGAGCUGAGAUCACACCAUUGCGCUUCAGCCUGGGCAACAAGAGUGAAACUCCAUCUCCAAAAAAAAAAAACAAAAAGAAAAAGAUUUUUGGGUCCCGACCUCAAACCUACUGAAUCAGAAUUUCUAGGGAUGAAGCCUAGGAAUGUGUUGUUGUUUUCAGAGCUUCCCUGGUGAUUGUGAUAAGCCUGGUUUGGAAACCAUUGCUGGAGAACUUUGUAAAGAUACAGAGACCCAGACCUUUUGUAUUUACAUUUAAAUACAAAUACAAAUCCUGGGUUUCUAUAUAUUCUGUUAGCUUUUCAGGUGAUUCUGCUACACAGACGUUGAAAACCACUGCCCUAAGAAAGAGAUCAGAGGCCACAUAUCAGAGAGAAAAGGGACCAAACCUUCGGUGGUUUGUUGUGUGUCGUUUUAAUGCCAAUUAUUUUAACUUGCACAGUCUUCUGAAACCUUGUAUUAAUAGUUCUCUUUUGUAUUACCAUUUUCAGGUAGGGUUUUGAUCACUAUGAUUCUGAAGAUAAUAGUGAAAUAGUGAAUUUCAUUGAUAUGAAGAGAUAAUUGAUUUUCAUUCAUUGGUUUGAACACCUGCAAAAUCACAAAUAAAUGAGAACUAAGUCUUGUA
rnacentral:lncRNA from 10 species